rnacentral:rRNA from 1 species
ACGCUGGCGGCAGGCUUACACAUGCAAGUCGAACGGUAGCAGGAGAAAGCUUGCUUUCUUGCUGACGAGUGGCGGACGGGUGAGUAAUGCUUGGGAAUCUGGCCUAUGGAGGGGGGAUAACGACGGGAAACUGUCGCUAAUACCGCGUAUUAUCGGAAGAUGAAAGUGCGGGACUGAGAGGCCGCAUGCCAUAGGAUGAGCCCAAGUGGGAUUAGGUAGUUGGUGGGGUAAAUGCCUACCAAGCCAGCGAUCUCUAGCUGGUCUGAGAGGAUGACCAGCCACACUGGAACUGAGACACGGUCCAGACUCCUACGGGAGGCAGCAGUGGGGAAUAUUGCGCAAUGGGGGGAACCCUGACGCAGCCAUGCCGCGUGAAUGAAGAAGGCCUUCGGGUUGUAAAGUUCUUUCGGUAUUGAGGAAGGUUGAUGUGAUAAUAGCACAUCAAAUUGACGUUAAAUACAGAAGAAGCACCGGCUAACUCCGUGCCAGCAGCCGCGGUAAUACGGAGGGUGCGAGCGUUAAUCGGAAUAACUGGGCGUAAAGGGCACGCAGGCGGUUAUUUAAGUGAGGUGUGAAAGCCCUGGGCUUAACCUAGGAAUUGCAUUUCAGACUGGGUAACUAGAGUACUUUAGGGAGGGGUAGAAUUCCACGUGUAGCGGUGAAAUGCGUAGAGAUGUGGAGGAAUACCGAAGGCGAAGGCAGCCCCUUGGGAAUGUACUGACGCUCAUGUGCGAAAGCGUGGGGAGCAAACAGGAUUAGAUACCCUGGUAGUCCACGCUGUAAACGCUGUCGAUUUGGGGGUUGGGGUUUAACUUUGGCGCCCGUAGCUAACGUGAUAAAUCGACCGCCUGGGGAGUACGGCCGCAAGGUUAAAACUCAAAUGAAUUGGACGGGGGCCCGCACAA